AUUGAACGCUGGCGGCAGGCCUAACACAUGCAAGUCGAGCGAGCGUCGGACAGGUGAGUAUUGUAUGGGGACUGCCCGAUAUAGGGGGAUAACUACUGGAAACGGUAGCUAAUACCGCAUACUAUCUGCUAACCCAUAUGUGAUUAGCUCGUAGGUGGGGUAAUGGCUCACCUAGGCGACGCGCACUAGCUGGUCUGAGAGGAUGAUCAGCCACACUGGGACUGAGACACGGCCCAGACUCCUACGGAGGCAGCAGUGGGGAAUAUUGCACAAUGGGCGCAAGCCUGAUGCAGCCAUGCCGCGUGUAUGAAGAAGGCCCUAGGGUUGUAAAGUACUUUCAGUCGGGAGGCGUUACCGACAGAAGAAGCACCGGCUAACUCCGUGCCAGCCGCCGCGGUAAUAC
rnacentral:rRNA from 1 species